GACGAACGCUGGCGGCGUGCCUAAUACAUGCAAGUUGAGCGCUGAAGGUUGGUACUUGUACCAACUGGAUGAGCAGCGAACGGGUGAGUAACGCGUGGGGAAUCUGCCUUUGAGCGGGGGACAACAUUUGGAAACGAAUGCUAAUACCGCAUAAAAACUUUAAACACAAGUUUUAAGUUUGAAAGAUGCAAUUGCAUCACUCAAAGAUGAUCCCGCGUUGUAUUAGCUAGUUGGUGAGGUAAAGGCUCACCAAGGCGAUGAUACAUAGCCGACCUGAGAGGGUGAUCGGCCACAUUGGGACUGAGACACGGCCCAAACUCCUACGGGAGGCAGCAGUAGGGAAUCUUCGGCAAUGGACGAAAGUCUGACCGAGCAACGCCGCGUGAGUGAAGAAGGUUUUCGGAUCGUAAAAACUCUGUUGGUAGAGAAAGAAACGUUGGUGAGAAGUGGAAAAG
rnacentral:rRNA from 1 species